UACGGGAGGCAGCAGUGACGAAUAUCGGACAAGGAUGGAAAUCUCACCAGCCAAGCCGCGGCAGGAAGCGGCCCUGUAGGAAGUAAACUGCU
rnacentral:rRNA from 1 species